rnacentral:lncRNA from 1 species
UUCAAGUGAGGAAUGGGAGGGAAGGGUCUGCCUAUGAGGUUUGCUUAUGUGAAAGAAGAAGGAAGCGGGCGGACACCCGUGCGCGCAGCAGGUGUAGAGUCGGGCGAACUAGUCCCGCGAAUAUGCGCAGAUGUUAUUUAUGAAUGGAAAUGGCCACAAUUUCUUUAGCGCGGACUGAAAUCGUGACUAUGUGUUCAUGGUUUCGAAACAAAAAAAACCAUCUACACGAGACGCUAUUUGUAUACUUAUAUCAUUAGUCACUUUUUUAAGUGUUAUUUAACUCGUUCGAUGUGAAGCCCCGGAACACCUGUAUGAAGCAUCUCCUCUCAGGAUUCACCGGACUUCGUAGCUUGAAACAACUAGUCCUUUUCCUUUUCCCUAUGCUGAGGAAGCACCAACAAAUCAAAGUUCAUAUUCACGUACAUAAAUGAAAGUAGGGAUGCGGUUGCUGAUUCGGAUCAUCUCAAUCAAUUGAUUGGGAAGAGAUUACUUUUUUUAAUGCUAAAAAUAUUUUUUCUCUUCUUUCCUCAGUAUUUACCGUUGUGCCCCUAUGCUAUCAAGAAGAAGGAAUACCCGGCAAAGUCCCAUCUACUCAUAGCGGGUUAUUUCACUCCUAAAUUCAGGCAGUGAACUUGGUUUGCGCAAGAAUAGGUUGAGAGCUUUAGACACGGGAACAGAACUGAAAGCAAGUAGACAGAUAGGUUGUUUUCGACGAAUCCCCUGCUUGAGAAUCAGCUGUUCGCCUUUCUCUCGGCUCCUAACAGCCUUACAUAAUGAAAUCCAAAUAAAGAAAGAAGGAAUACCCGGCAAAGUCCCAUCUACUCAUAGCGGAUUAUCUCACUCCUAAAUUCAUUCAGUGAACUUGGUUUGCGCAAGAAUAGGUUGAGAGCUUUAGACACGGGAAUAGAACUGAAAGCAAGUAAACAGAUAGGUUGUUUUCGACGAAUCCCCUGCUUGAGAAUCAGCUGUUCGCCUUUCUCUCGGCUCCUAACAGCCUUACAUAAUGAAAUCCAAAUAAAGAACCAAAGACGAGAGGCUUAAAGCCAAGUAUUCACUUCAGUCUUAAGCCGGACAUUGCGGUUGGUUGGGUGAAAUAAGAUCCCUAUGGUAUCUUUCUCACCUGCUUCUUUGUUUUUCUUUGUCAUCCCACUUUACUAGAGAGAGGAGUGGGAGUGGUGACUGUGUGAAGGAUAAUAAAACUUUCCUUUAUUUCGAUCUACUUCCUAAAUGGACAGCUGAGCUGGGAGAAGAUUUAUUUUCCUAACAGAGCAAACCAGCAAUACAAGAGCAUUUUCCAAGCAUAAAAUCACGAAGUUUUUC